AUGGCGCCUGGGCUGCGGUUCCCGCCGGCGUUCGCCCUCGUGCAGCUCGUGGUCACGCUGCUCGCUGUGCUGCCUCGCCAUGUUGUGCCGGACCUGGCCGGCGACCGCGACGCGCUGCUCGCCCUGCGCACCGCCGUGGGAAGUCAUCUGAAGUGGGACCUCUCGGUGUCCCCGUGCCAGGGGUGGCAAGGCGUCAGCUGCAGCCCCGGCCCCAACCAGCGCGUCGUGGAGGUGCGGCUAGUUGCCAAGAGCCUGAGCGGGCAGAUCCCGGUCGGCACGGUGGGCAACCUCACCGCCCUACAGACGCUGUCGCUCCGGUUUAACGCCAUCUCCGGCCCCAUCCCGGCGGACAUCGGCAGCUGCACCGAGCUCCGGUGGCUGUACCUCAAGGGGAACCGAUUUGACGGCGACAUACCGGAGAGCUUCUUCUCGCUGGCAUUGCUCAAGAAGGCCGAUCUCUCCGGGAAUCGCCUCACCGGCGGCGUGUCAUCAGAGUUCAACAAGCUCGGGAACCUCGCCACGUUGAACCUCGAGGGCAAUAACCUUAACGGCGCGCUCCCGAGCGGCCUUGACCUCCCAAAGCUCACGCAGUUCAACGUGUCCUACAACGGCCAGAUCGAUGGCCCCGUGCCCGCGUCACUCGCCGGGCUGCCCGCGAGCGCCUUCCUCGGGACGGCGCUUUGCGGCGGCCCUCUCGCUGCUUGCCCCAACUCCGACUCCGAGGCCCACAAGAGUCGCAAGCUAACCCUUGGCGCCAUCGUCGGCAUCAUCAUCGCUGCGUUGGUCGUUCUCAUCGUCAUCCUUUCAAUCUGCGUUCUCAUCUUCAGCCGGCGGCGGCGGGCGGCGGCCGGAAGGUCCACCGAGGCCGCGGCCGACGUGCACGAGGGCACGGAGCCUAUAACGGUGACCGUGGCGAUGACGGGCAGGGACGCCGUGAAGCGGUCGCACUCCCCGCCGGGUUCGCCGUUGAUCGGCGACGGCAAGAAGCUGGUGUUCCUGGGCAGCGCGCCGGAGAGGCCCUAUGACCUGGAGACGAUGCUGCGGGCGUCCGCCGAGGUGCUCGGCAAGGGCGUCCACGGGACGACGUACCGUGCAACGCUCGACGGCGGCGAGCCCGUCCUCGCCAUCAAACGCCUCCGCGAUGUCCACCUCCCUGAGCGCGAGUUCCGGGACAGGGUGGUCGCCCUCGGCGCUCUCCGCCACGACAACCUGCCGGGUCUCCGCGCCUACUUCUACAGCAAGGAGGAGAAGCUCCUCGUCUUCGACUUCGUCGGCGCCGGCAGCCUCUCCUCCCUUCUCCACGGCAGCGGAGCGGAGCGCCUCGACUUCACGACGCGCGCACGGAUCGCGCUGGCGGCGGCGCGCGGCGUGGCGUUCAUCCACGGCGGAGGGCCCAAGGCGUCGCACGGCAGCAUCAAGGCGUCCAACAUCGUCGUCAGCGGGAAGCGCGACAGCGCCUACGUGGCCGACUACGGCCUGGCGCAGCUCGUCGGCACAGCGGGGCUGCCGAAGCGGGGCACGGGCUACCGCGCCCCGGAGGUGACCGACGCGCGCGUCGUGUCGCAGAAGGCCGACGUGUACAGCUUCGGUGUGGUGGUGCUGGAGCUGCUCACCGGGCGCGCGCCGACGCACGCGCUCCCGGAUGGCGGCGCCGGCGGCAGCGGCGUGGACCUCGCGCGGUGGGUGCGGUCGGUGGUGCAGGAGGAGUGGACGUCCGAGGUGUUCGACUCCGUCAUCGGCAGCGAGCCGCGCGUGGAGGAGGAGAUGAUGCGGCUGCUGCAGCUCGGGAUGGAGUGCACCGAGCAGCACCCCGACCGGCGCCCGACGAUGGCCGAGGUGGAGGCGAGGAUCGAGCGCAUCGUCGAGGACGCGAGCCGGAGGGCCGACUUCAGCAGCACCGACGGCAGCCGGAGCGUGUCCGCAUGA
rnacentral:rRNA from 1 species